CAAGUCGAACGAGUUCUCGUUGAUGAUCGGUGCUUGCACCGAGAUUCACCAUGGAACGAGUGGCGGACGGGUGAGUAACACGUGGGUAACCUGCCCUUAAGUGGGGGAUAACAUUUGGAAACAGAUGCUAAUACCGCAUAGAUCCAAGAACCGCAUGGUUCUUGGCUGAAAGAUGGCGUAAGCUAUCGCUUUUGGAUGGACCCGCGGCGUAUUAGCUAGUUGGUGAGGUAAUGGCUCACCAAGGCGAUGAUACGUAGCCGAACUGAGAGGUUGAUCGGCCACAUUGGGACUGAGACACGGCCCAAACUCCUACGGGAGGCAGCAGUAGGGAAUCUUCCACAAUGGACGCAAGUCUGAUGGAGCAACGCCGCGUGAGUGAAGAAGGCUUUCGGGUCGUAAAACUCUGUUGUUGGAGAAGAAUGGUCGGCAGAGUAACUGUUGUCGGCGUGACGGUAUCCAACCAGAAAGCCACGGCUAACUACGUGCCAGCAGCCGCGGUAAUACGUAGGUGGCAAGCGUUAUCCGGAUUUAUUGGGCGUAAAGCGAGCGCAGGCGGUUUUUUAAGUCUGAUGUGAAAGCCCUCGGCUUAACCGAGGAAGCGCAUCGGAAACUGGGAAACUUGAGUGCAGAAGAGGACAGUGGAACUCCAUGUGUAGCGGUGAAAUGCGUAGAUAUAUGGAAGAACACCAGUGGCGAAGGCCGCUGUCUGGUCUGUAACUGACGCUGAGGCUCGAAAGCAUGGGUAGCGAACAGGAUUAGAUACCCUGGUAGUCCAUGCCGUAAACGAUGAAUGCUAGGUGUUGGAGGGUUUCCGCCCUUCAGUGCCGCAGCUAACGCAUUAAGCA
rnacentral:rRNA from 1 species